UCAGAGGGAGGUAGAAUUNCACGUGUAGCAGUGAAAUGCGUAGAGAUGUGGAGGAAUACCGAUGGCGAAGGCAGCCUCCUGGGAUAACACUGACGUUCAUGCCCGAAAGCGUGGGUAGCAAACAGGAUUAGAUACCCUGGUAGUCCACGCCCUAAACGAUGUCGAUUAGCUGUUGGGCAGCAUGACUGCUUAGUAGCGAAGCUAACGCGUGAAAUCGACCGCCUGGGGAGUACGGUCGCAAGAUUAAAACUCAAAGGAAUUGACGGGGACCCGCACAAGCGGUGGAUGAUGUGGAUUAAUUCGAUGCAACGCGAAGAACCUUACCUGGUCUUGACAUGUACGGAACCCUCCAGAGACGGAGGGGUGCCUUCGGGAGCCGUAACACAGGUGCUGCAUGGCUGUCGUCAGCUCGUGUCGUGAGAUGUUGGGUUAAGUCCCGCAACGAGCGCAACCCUUGUCAUUAGUUGCCAUCAUUAAGUUGGGCACUCUAAUGAGACUGCCGGUGACAAGCCGGAGGAAGGUGGGGAUGACGUCAAGUCCUCAUGGCCCUUAUGACCAGGGCUUCACACGUCAUACAAUGGUCGGUACAGAGGGUAGCCAAGCCGCGAGGUGGAGCCAAUCUCACAAAACCGAUCGUAGUCCGGAUUGCACUCUGCAACUCGAGUGCAUGAAGUCGGAAUCGCUAGUAAUCGCAGGUCAGCAUACUGCGGUGAAUACGUUCCCGGGUCUUGUACACACCGCCCGUCACACCAUGGGAGUGGGGGAUACCAGAAGUAGGUAGGGUAACCGCAAGGAGC
rnacentral:rRNA from 1 species